rnacentral:rRNA from 1 species
GACGAACGCUGGCGGCGUGCUUAACACAUGCAAGUCGAGCGAGCGGCGAACGGGUGAGUAACACGUGAGUAAUCUGCCCUUCACUCUGGGAUAAGCACUCGAAAGGGUGUCUAAUACCGGAUAGUGGGGGAUGUGCUCGCGGCCUAUCAGCUUGUUGGUGGGGUAAUGGCCUACCAAGGCUUCGACGGGUAGCCGGCCUGAGAGGGUGACCGGCCACACUGGGACUGAGACACGGCCCAGACUCCUACGGGAGGCAGCAGUGGGGAAUAUUGGACAAUGGGCGGAAGCCUGAUCCAGCAACGCCGCGUGAGGGAUGACGGCCUUCGGGUUGUAAACCUCUUUCAGUAUCGACGCGGUAGGUACAGAAGAAGCACCGGCCAACUACGUGCCAGCAGCCGCGGUAAUUC